rnacentral:rRNA from 1 species
AUGAAGAUCAUUCUCCUCCUCCUCAUCCUUGCACCCCUCGGCGUGUCCGUCACCGCCCGCCUCAAGUGCCCCGGCGUGCCAUACAACGGCGCUGUGGCGACCUGCUACCAUGGUUGCGGCACGAAGCUCAUCUACGACCUCUGCAUCAAGACAAUGCAACAGGGCCACAUCGACCUAUCUCCGUCGCACAAAGAAGAGACCACCGCGUACGCCAUCCUCGUGCUAAGCGCCGCCGUGGAGUCCACGAGGACCACGUCGCACACGCUGACCUACCAGCUCCAGAAGAACGCGUCCAUCUCCGUCCAGGAAAGGGCAUUCUACGGGGCGUGCCUCACUGACUACGUCGCGGCGUUGAACUCCCUCGACCACACCCUCGUCGUGAUGCUGCCGAACUGCUUCUUUCAGGGGAUCAACGACGACUACCUCAGCGCGCUGGCCAGCCUGAAUAGUUGUAGGGACCGGUUCAUAGGGCCGGCUAUGUACACGUCGCCGGUGUACCCCUUGGUUUUGGCCGACCGAAACAAGGCAUUGCUGGCUUACUCGCUUGGCAAGUUGUUAUUAUGA